UAGAGCUGGGGUUUCACUGUGUUGGCCAGGCUGGUCUCGAAAUCCUGACCUCAGGUUAUCCACCCAGCUUGGCCUCCCAGAAUGCUGGGAUUACAGGCGUGAGCCACUAUGCCUGGCCUGCUUUUUAGACUAAUUUCCUUCUGACCUUCCCAGGGAAAUUUGGGAUCCAGCUGUAUUGAACUAUGUGCCAUUCUCCAAAAAUGUCAUUCUGUUCUGUACUCAGACGUUUUUCCAUCUACUAACCCGAGAAUUCCUUGCUCACUUUCAAAAGCUGGAACGAAUAUUACUGUCUUUAUGAAAACCCUCCUCAGUAGUACUGUCUCCAAAUCCCAAACCCAACGCCCACACCAACCCAAAUUGGUUUACAGCUAUGAUUUCCAACAGCGCGUUGUUUCUGUUUCUCUACAAGCACAUCCAGUUCUCCUUGUAGAUGAUACGUCUGGGGGGUCAGAGACUGUGGUGUUUUAUCUGUAUUUGUACCCACGAUGGUGGCACAAGGCAGAAUCUCCAUCAAUCACAUAUCGGGCGCCGGCGUCAGCAUCACCAGGCGUGGGAGGCUCCGUGAUGCCCUGGUGUUCUGUGAAACUGGACUUACACCAGUGCUACCAAAUGUCGCCAACCCCAUGACUGGGUCCCACUCUUUCCCAGCCAACAAUUCGACUUCUGUGGAGGCCAUUGGGCUGUGCUGUGAAUGUGAGCCUGUGUUGAAGCAUGCAGGGCCUGCGGAGAAAGCUUAGAGCCAUCGUAAAACCACUUUGUGUCCACGAGUGAGCCAAGGAGGUAAAGCUCUGAGCCUUUUAUUUCUUUUCUUUCAAUUCUUCAGUGUGGGGAGAAGCAGCCAAGCAUCUCCAAAGUGCUUGUUCCCUGGGCCUUGAUGUGUUGCUGCGACAGCCGUCCUUCACCAGAUAGACACAUCCCAGGUGAUGGCAGGUGAUACCAGCCUGGCUGCAUUCCACACAGGGCCAUAGGCUCCAGCGUCCCACAUCAGCAAUGCAGUGUGUUCAGGUGACCAAGACCCAAUGACAAGCCCUGAGUGCAGUCACCCGCAUCAUUUCUGUCAUCAUCUACUGUGCCAGUGGAUCCUUAUGUUGGUCAACACGUCUGCAUAAGAAGCACCUCGCGACGAAUCACAGCUGGGAGAUUUGAGGCAACGUAUUUACUUCUCUGUGGCUUCUGCUGAAAAUACUAACCACGCUGGGUUCUUUGGAUUAACUCAGCAUCCUUUGCGGUCGGG